GUCUGUUGGCUUUAAUAUUUGUAUUAGUCUGGGAGUUUAGGGCCAGUUUCUUGGUUUUUUUCUAAGUGACUAAGUGUAAUUCAUUAGUUAGCCCAGUUUUGUUAUAUUUCUCAUAAGUGAUGCUAUUUGGGCCUAAGGUUCUUCCUCACUAUUAUUUUUGCUUCGGCCUGAUUGUCUUUAAAAUGUGUUCACUAUUAAAUGUUGUAAUACAUUCAACUAGAUUGUACAUUAUGUGUAUGCUAUAGCUAGUUUUGUAGUAAGCUCUGCAUACAAAUAUUGAUGCUUUUUCUCUAUAUACUAUCAUCAAUAGUAAAUCAUACAUCUAGUUUUAAUCUGCAUACUGUCAUAAGUUUAUAUCACAGUUCAAGCCUAAACUCAUUAUCCUUCCUUUCUCCAAUAAUAUGUCACAAUAAGAGAGAACUGAGUUGUUACACCUCUCGUUUUCAUUGUAGGAGAACCUAUGGUUUCCUAGUCGGGUAUGCCUUUGGAAUAGAGACUCGAGCCCGAGUUUUUGAAUUAGAAAGUCUUGCCCCGUGUACAAGAGUACCUGCAGUUGUUCCUGGCAAUUUCACGGACAGUCGUUGUCCGACAUCGAUAGGGUUCCGUAGCCUUGAAUCUACAGGCGCAGGUUGAAGGAUCGUCGACACGUCGACGGGUCAUCGACCCGCUCGUCGAACUGCACCACUGUAAAUUUUUCACUCCGAGUAUAAAUAUGUCGUUCACCACUUUAUUUCACAUUUUCCUCCAUUCCAGAUCAGGGAAACCCUAGUAUUUUCUCUCCCAACAUUUUCCAUCAUUAUUAGUGGUGAUUUGGAAAGAUCCGAGGCUCGUGAACCCGUGCUUGUCAAGAAGAAGGUUGUUUCUAGGGGUUUUUCAAGGUUGUGAAGCUUAGGAAGUUAGAUUUGAAGUGAUUCUUGAAAUUUUAGACCCCUCAAGACUUACGAGCUCGAGGAUUACAAGCUGGGCGAUUAGAUACAGUUCGAAGUAUGUUGAGGCUAUCUUUUCUUUCCUUUGGCAUGAUCCUAUGAUAUGAGACAACGAGCAAGUUCAGGUAGACUGACAGGUGGUCCAGCUUAGUAGGACUUCUAUCCAGCUGUGGUCAGUGCGCUCCAUUGAUCCGGAGUUGCAGUCUAUUUUGGUAUGCUAUCCUUUUGAGAGGUAUAUGCACUUGGGUAUAAGGGGGCCCUGUCCCGUCCUUUCUACUGCUAUUAUUUCAGCAGAGGUCUGUAGACUGUUGUAUGUAUUAGUCAGAUGAUAUAGCCUUGUCGGCUUCUAUUCUUUUGUGUACAGUAUGUGUAGCAGUCGAGCUGGCUUGCACUGUUCGUUAGUAUGUUUAUGUGUAUACAGAUUGUUCAGAGUUCAUGAUGUCGCCUAUUUAUGAGAUCAGUUUA